rnacentral:lncRNA from 1 species
UGCCUUCUUUUCCUUUUAAGAACAAGUUCAUAUUGAUUGUAUGGCACCAUAUGUAUAGAAAGGUGCUGACAAUCUCACCAUCAAAAAAAUUAAGAUCAAAAUACUCUAAUUCUGAUGGUUAUAUAUGCGGCUUUUUUCUAUAUGAUGAUUUUUAUUUAUUUUAUAAUUUUUUUGUUUGAAUAAUAUUUUGAUAAAAUUUCUAUAUACUUUUUUUGUAGUUCAAGCGAAG